AAACAAGAACACUAAUAAAACUAUCAAUCUUCUCAAUUCUUAAUAACAAUAUACAAAAUUUAGCAAAACAAGAACACUAAUAACACUAUCAAUCUUCUCAUUUCUUGAUAACAAUAUACAAAAUUUAACAAAACAAGAACACUAAUAACACUGUCAAUCUUCUCAUUUCUUGAUAACAAUAUACAAAAUUUAGCAAAACAAGAACACUAUCAAUCUUCUCAUUUUUUGAUAACAAUAAAGAAAAUUUAGCAAAACAAGAACACUAAUAACACUAUCCAUCCUUUCAUUUCUUGAUAACAAUAUACAAAAUUCAGCAAAACAAGAACCCUAAUAACACUAUCAAUCUUCUCAUUUCUUGAUAACAAUAUACAAAAUUCAGCAAAACAAGAACACUAAUAACAGUAUCAAUCCUCUCAUUUCUUGAUUACAAUAUACAAAAUUUAGCAAAACAAGAACAUUAAUAACAUUAUCAAUCUUCUCAUUUCUUGAUAACAAUAUACAAAAUUUAGCGAAACAAGAACACUACUAACACUAAAUCAAUCUUCUCAUUUCUUUUAAUAAACAAUAUACAAAAUUUAGCAAAACAAGAACACUAAUAACAUCUAAUCAAAUCUUCUCAAUUUCUGAUGUAACAAUAUACAAAAUUUAGCAAACCAAGAACAUAAUAACACUAUCAAUCUCUCAUCAUUUCUUGAUAAACAAUAUACAAAUUUUAUGCAAAACAAGAAACACUAAUAAACACUAUCAAUCUUUCCAUUUCUUGAUAACAAUAUACAAAAUUUAGCGAAACAAGAACAAUAAUAACACUACACAAUCUUUAUUCUGAAUAAACAAUAUACAAAAUUUAGCAAAACAAGAACCAUCUAAUAAGCAUUCUAUCAAAUCUUCUCAUUUCUUGAUAACAAUAUACAAAAUUUAGCAAACUAGAUACACUAAUACACUAUCAAUCUUUCUCAUUUCUUUGAUAACAAUAUAUCUACUAAAUAUUAGCAAAAACAAGAACACUAAUAACAAAUGUAUCAAUCCUCUCAUUUCUUAAUAACAAUCUAAAUAAAAUUUAGCAAACAAGACAAUAACACUUCAAUCCUCUCAUUCUGAUAACAAACAUAUAACAAACAAACACUAAUCACUAUCAAUCUUCUGCAUUUCUUGAUGAACAUAUACAAAAUUUUAGCAAAACAAGACACUAAUAACACAUAUCAAUCUUCUCAUUUUUGAUAACAAUAUACAAAUUAAAAAAAACCAAGAACACUAAUAACACUAUCAAUCUUCUCAUUUCUUAUAACAAUGAUACUAAAAUUUAGCAAAACAAGAACACUAAUAACACAUAUCAAUCUUCUGACUUUCUUGAUAACAAUAUAAAAAAAUUUAGCAGAAACAGAACACUAAUAAACUAUCAAUCUUCUCAUUUUCCUUAAUAACAAUAUACAAAUUUAAAAACAAGAACACUAAAUAACACUAUCAAUCUUCAUUUCUUGAUAAACAAUAUCAAAAUUAGCAAAACAACAUUAAUAACACUAGUCAUCUCUCAUUUCUUGAUACAAUAUACAAAUUUAGAAAAACAAGAACACUAUACACUAUCAUCUUCUCAAAUUUUCUUGAUAACAAUAUACAGAAAUUUAGCCAAUAACAAGAACACUAAUAACACUAUCAUCUCUCAUUUCUUGAUACAAUAUAUCAAAAUUCGCAAUACAAAGAAACUAUAACACUAUCAACUUCUCAUUCUUGAUAACAAUAUACAAAUUAGGCAAACACAAAACACUAAUAACACCUAUCAAUCUCUCAUUUCUUGAUAACAUAUACAAAAUUUAGCAAAACAAGAACAUAUAACAUUAUCCAUCUUCUCAUUUCUUGAUAACAAUAUACAAAUUUACGAAACAAGAACACUAAUAACACUAUCAAUCUUCCUCAUUUUUGAAUCAACAAUAUACAAAAUUUAGCAAAACAAGAAACUAAUAACACUAUCAAUCUUUCUCAUUUCUUGAUAAAAUAUACAAUUUAGCAAAAACAGAAGCACUAAUAACACUAUCAAUUGUCCUCAUUUUCUUUGAUAACAAAUACAAAAUUUAGCAAAAACAAGAACACUAUAACACUAUCAAUCUUCCAUUUCUUGAUAACAAAUACAAAUUUAGCAAAACAAGAACAAUAAUAACACUUCAAUCUUCUUUCCUUGAUAACAAUAUACAAAAUCUAGCAAAAAAGAACACUAAUAACACUAUCAAUCUUCUGUUCUUUUGAUAACAAUAUACAAAUUUGCAAAACAGAGAACACUAAUAACACUUCAUCUUCUCAUUUUUCAUAACAAUAUACAAAUUUACAAACAAGAACAUAAUAACAUAUCUAUCUUCUCAAUUUUCUUUGAUAACAAUAUACAAAUUUAGCAAAACAAGAACAUAAUAACACUAUCAAUCUUCUCAUUUCUGAUAACAAUAUACAAAAUUUAGCAAAACAAGAACAAAUAACAUAUCAAUCUUCUAUUUCUUGAUAACAAUAUACAAAUUUAGCAAAACAAGAACACUAAUAACACAAAUCUUCUCAUUCUUGAUAAAUAUACAAAAUUUAGCAAAACAAGAAACACUAAUAACAUUAUCAAUUCUCUCAUUUCUUAAUAACAAUACAUAAUUUAGCAAACAAGAACAUAAUAACACUGCUUCAUCUCUCAUUCUUGAUAACAAUAUACAAAAUAUAGCAAAACCAGAAACACUAAUACACUCAUCAAUCUUCUCAUUUCUUGAUAACAAUAUACAAAAUUUGCAACAGAACAUAAUACACUAUCAAUCUUCUCAUUUCUUGAUUAACAUAUACAAAAUUUAAAAAAAAACAAGAACACUAAUAACACUAUAUCUCUCAUUUCUUGAUAACAAUAAUACAAAAUUUAGCAAAACAAGACACUAAUAACAUUCAAUCUUCUCAUUUCUUGAUAAACAAUAUAAAAAAUUUAGCAAAACAAGAACAUAAUAACUAUCAAUCUUCUCAUUUCUUAAACAAUAUACAAAAUUUAGAAAAACAGAACACUAAUAACAUAUCAUCUUCUCAUUUCUUGAUAACAAUAUACAAAUUUAGCAACAAGAACACUAAUAACACUUCAAUCUUCUCAUUUUUGAUAACAAUAUACAAAAUUUAGCAAAACAAGAACACUAUCAAUCUUCUCAUUUUUGAUAACAAUAUACAAAAUUUAGCAAAACAAGAACACUAAUAACACUAUCAUCUCUCAUUUCUGAUAACAAUAUACAAAAUUCAGAACAAACAAGAAGCUUCAUUCUUGAUAACAACUAUCAUUCCAACAAGACAUAUCAUUCCAUGUCUGAUAAAUGAAAAUUUCUAAGCAAAUCAAGACACAAUAAACAUCCACUACAUUUGAACAAUUUUACGAACAAGAAAUGAUACACUCUCCAAUUCUCAUUCUGAUAACAAUAUACAAAUUUAGAAAACAAGAACUUAUCAAUCCUCUCAUUUCUUGAUAACAAUAUACAUAAUUUAGCAAAACAAGAACACUAAUAACACUAUCAAUCUUCUCAUUUCUUGAUAACAAUAUACAAAAUUUAGAAAAACAAGAACACUAAUAACACUAUCAAUCUUCACAUUUCUUGAUAACAAUAUACAUAAUUUAGCAAAACAAGAACAAUAAUAACACUCUCAGUCCUCUUUUUUCUUGAUAAUAAUAUACAAAAUUUAACAAAAGAAGAACACUAAUAACACUAUCAAUCUUCUGAUUUCUUGAUAACACUAUACAAAAUUUAGCAAAACAAGAACACUAAUAACACUGUCAAUCUUCUCAUUUCUUGAUAACAAUAUACAAAAUUUAGCAAAACAAGAACACUAUUAAUCUUCUCAUUUUUUGAUAACAAUUUACAAAAUUUAGCAAAACAAGAACACUAAUAACACUAUCCAUCCUCUCAUUUCUUGAUAACAAUAUACAAAAUUCAGCAAAACAAGAACCCUAAUAACACUAUCAAUCUUCUCAUUUCUUGAUAACAAAAUUUAGCACAAACAAGAACACUAAUAAACACUAUCAAUCUUUCUUGAUAACAAUAUACAAAAUUCAGCAAAACAAGAACACUAAUAACACUAUCAAUCUUCUCAUUUCUUGAUAACAAUAUACAAAAUUCAGCAAAACAAGAACACUAAUAACACUAUCAAUCCUGUCAUUUCUUGAUAACAAUAUACAAAAUUUAGCAAACCAAGAACAUUAAUAACAUUAUCAAUCUUCUCAUUUCUUGAUAACAAUAUACAAAAUUUAGCAAAAUAAGAACACUAAUAACACUAUCAAUCUUCUUAUUUCUUGAUAACAAUAUACAAAAUUUAGCAAAGCAAGAACACUAAUAACACUAUCAAUCUUCUCAUUUCUUGAUAACAAAAUAGAAAAUUUAGCAAAACAAGAACACUAAUAACAAUAUCAAUCCUCUCAUUUCUUGAUAACAAUAUACAUAAUUUAGCUAAACAAGAACACUAUCAAUCUUCUCAUUUCUUGAUAACAAUAUACAAAAUUUAGCAAAACAAGAACACUAAUAACACUAUCAAUCCUCUCAUUUCUUAAUAACAAUAUACAAAAUUCAGCAAAACAAGAACCCUAAUAACACUAUCAAUCUUCUCAUUUCUUGAUAACAAUAUACAAAAUUCAGCAAAACAAGAACACUAAUAACACUAUCAAUCCUCUCAUUUCUUGAUAACAAUAUAAAAAGUUUAGCAAACAAGAACACAAUAACACUAUCAAUCUUCUCAUUUCUUAAUACAAAUAUAGAAAAUUUAGCAAAACAAGAACACUAAUAACACUAAUCAAUCUCUCUCUUUCUUAGAUAACAAUAUACACAAAUUUUAGCAAAACAAGAACACUAAUAACAUUAUCAAUCUUCUCAUUUCUGAUAACAAUUAGACAAAUUUAGCAAAACAAGAACACUAUAUAACACUAUCAAUCUUUCUCAUUUCUUGAUAACAAUAUACAAAAUUAUAAAAACAGAAACACUAAUAACACUAUCAAUCUUCUCAUUUCUUGAUAACAAUAUAACAAAAUUUAGCAAAACAAGAACACUAAUAACACUAUCAAUCUUCUCAUUUCUUGAUAAAAAUAGCAAAAUUAGCAAAACAAGACACUAUAACAACUAUCAAUCUUCUCAUUUCUUAAUAACAAUAUACAAAUUUAGCAAAAAGAACACUAAUAACACUAUCAAUCUUUCCAUUUCUUGAUAACAAUAUACAAAAUUGCAAAACAAGAACACUAAUAACACUCAAUUCUUCUCAUUUCUUGAUAACAAUAUACAAAAUUUAGCAAAACAAGAACACUAUCAAUCUUCUCAUUUCUUGAUAACAAUAUACAAAAUUUAGCAAACAAGAAACACUAAUAACACUAUCAUCUCUCAUUUCUUGAUAACAAUAUACAAAAUUCAGCAAAACAAGAACCUAAUAACAUAUCAAUCUUCUCAUUUCUUGAUAACAAUAUACAAAAUUCAGCAAAACAAGAACAUAAUAACUAUCAAUCCUCUCAUUCUUGACAACAAUAUACAAAAUUAAGGCAAAACAAGAACAUUAAUAACAUUAUCAAUCUUCUCAUUUCUUGAUAACAAUAUACAAAAUUUAGCGAAACAAGAACACUAAUAACACUAUCAAUCUUCUCUUUUUUCUUAAUAACAAUAUACAAAAUUUAGCAAAACAAGAACACUAAUAACACUAUCAAUCUUCUCAUUUCUUGAUAACAAUAUACAAAAUUUAGCAAAAACAAGAACACUAAUAAACACAUCAAUCUUCUCAUUUCUUGAUAACAAUAUACAAAAUUUAGCAAAGCAAAGAACACUAAUAACACUAUCAAUCUUCUCAUUCUUGAAUAACAAAAUAGAAAAUUUAGGCAAAACAAGAACACUAAUAACAUCAAUCCUUCAUUUCUUGAUAACAAUAUACAAAUUUAGCAAAACAAACACUAAUAACAUAUCAACCUCAUUUCUUGAUAACAAUAUACAAAAUUUGCAAAACAAGAACACUAUAUUAACACUAUCAAUUUCUCAUUUCUUAAUAACAAUAUACAAAAUUUAGCAAAAAAAACAAAACAUAAUAACACUAUCAAUCUCUCAUUUCUUGAUAACAUAUACAAAAUUUGGCAAAACAAGAACACUAAUAACACUAUCAAUGCUUCUUCAUUUCUUGAUAACAAAUAUACAAAUUUAAAAACAAGAACACUAUAACAACUAUCAAUCUUCUCAUUUCUUGAUAACAAUAUACAAAAUUUAGCAAAACAAGAAACUAAUAACACUAUCAAUCUUCUCAUUUCUUGAUAACAAUAUCAAAAUUUAGCAAAACAAGAACACUAUAACACUAUCAAUCUUCUCAUUUCUUAAUAACAAUAUACAAAAUUUAGCAAAACAAGAACACUAAUAACACUAUCAAUCUCUCAUUUCUUGAUAACAAUAUACAAAAUUUAGCAAA
rnacentral:lncRNA from 1 species